GACGAACGCUGGCGGCGUGCUUAACACAUGCAAGUCGAACGGAAAGGCCCCUUUGGGGGUACUCGAGUGGCGAACGGGUGAGUAACACGCGAGUAACCUGCCCUUGACUUCGGGAUAACUUCAGGAAACUGGGGCUAAUACCGGAUAGGAAUCCUUGCUGCAUGGUGGGGGUUGGAAAGCUUCGGCGGUUUUGGAUGGACUCGCGGCUUAUCAGCUUGUUGGUGGGGUAGUGGCUUACCAAGGCUUUGACGGGUAGCCGGCCUGAGAGGGCGACCGGCCACAUUGGGACUGAGAUACGGCCCAGACUCCUACGGGAGGCAGCAGUGGGGAAUAUUGCACAAUGGGCGGAAGCCUGAUGCAGCAACGCCGCGUGCGGGAUGACGGCCUUCGGGUUGUAAACCGCUUUCAGCAGGGGCGAAGCUUGUGGUGACGGUACCUGCAGAAGAAGCACCGGCUAACUACGUG
rnacentral:rRNA from 1 species